rnacentral:rRNA from 1 species
GAUGAACGCUGGCGGCGUGCCUAAUACAUGCAAGUCGAGCGAACCACUUCGGUGGGAAGCGGCGAACGGGUGAGUAACACGUAGGUAAUCUGCCCAUCAGACGGGGACAACGAUUGGAAACGAUCGCUAAUACCGGAUAGGACGAAAGUUUAAAGAUGCUCCUGGCAUCGCUGAUGGAUGAGCCUGCGGCGCAUUAGCUAGUUGGUAGGGUAAAGGCCUACCAAGGCGACGAUGCGUAGCCGACCUGAGAGGGUGAACGGCCACACUGGGACUGAGACACGGCCCAG